rnacentral:lncRNA from 1 species
UCUGACCUGUUAGUAGCAUGGUGGGCCACAGCACUGUGCUGUGCUGUGAGCCUGGUCUGUCUCCAUCUAAGUUUCUUUAAUGAGAAAACAAAUAAAAUAUUCAAAAAAGAAAUUUUUUUUUUUUUUUUUUGAGACAGAGUCUCGCUCUGUCGCCCAGGCUGGAGUGCAGUGGCGCGAUCUCGGCUCACUGCAAGCUCCGCCUCCCGCGUUCACGUCGUUCUCCACCUCAGCCUCCCGAGUAGCUGGGACUACAUGCGCCCGCCAUCACACCAGGCUAAUUUUUUGUAUUUUUAGUAGAGACGGGGUUUCACCGUGUUAGCCAGGAUGGUCUCGAUCUCCUGACCUCGUGAUCCACCCGCCUCAGCCUCCCAAAGUGCUGGGAUUACAGGCGUGAGCUACUGCGCCCGGCCUAAAAUAUAUAUUAUGUGUAUAUACAUAGAUUUUUAAUUUAAUAAUAUUCCAUUGCUUAGAUGUACCACAGUUCAUUCAUCAGUUGAAAGGCCUUUGAGAUGCUCCCUCUUUGGGCAAUUAUGAAUAAUGUCACAAUCAACAUUUGCAUGCAGAUUUUGUGUGAACAUAAGAGUAAUUUCUCUUGGACUGGCAUGCCUGCUUUGUAUGGGGAUUUUUCUCCAGCCCUCACCCUGAGAAGCUGAUGAAUUAUACGGAGGUAAAACCUACAAGAGUAUAGGGAUUCCCUUAGGACUGCCACUACCCAGGUGUUUUCAACUUUCAUGCUGAUACACCUUCAGCUUUAAGCAAUUUAUCAAUUACCAUUUAAGGGCUUCUUUAAUCAGUGACUUCAGCAGCUUCUGCAUCUGGACAACUUUGUGUAGAAUUGAUAGUAUUAUUCCUUAAAUAUUUUGCAAAUUCAAGAAUGAAGUUAUCCAGAUUUUGAGUUACAAGACUUGUGAAAAGCAUGAAAUUUUACCCUACUUGCAGAUUCUUGAGAUGAAAGCUUACAUAAUUUGAGACCUUUCUUAUCUGAUGUGAAGAUUUAAUAUCGUAAAUUUCUAAGCAUUGCUUUAGCUGCAUUCAAAAAAUUUGUUACAUGUUUUUAUAUUCAUUCAGUUUAAAAUGUUUUAA